GACAGAGGGUGCAAACGUUGUUCGGAAUUACUGGGCGUAAAGCGUGUGUAGGCGGCCGCGUAAGUCGGAUGUGGAAGCCCUGGGCUCAACCCAGGAAGUGCACUCGAUACUGCGUGGCUUGAGUACUGGAGAGGUUGGUGGAAUUCUCGGUGUAGAGGUGAAAUUCGUAGAUAUCGAGAGGAACACCGGUGGCGAAGGCGGCCAACUGGACAGAUACUGACGCUGAGACACGAAAGCGUGGGGAGCAAACAGG
rnacentral:rRNA from 1 species